AUUGAACGCUGGCGGCAGGCUUAACACAUGCAAGUCGAACGAGUGGCGGACGGGUGAGUAAUGCUUGGGAAUCUGGCUUAUGGAGGGGGAUAACGACGGGAAACUGUCGCUAAUACCGCGUACCAUAGGAUGAGCCCAAGUGGGAUUAGGUAGUUGGUGGGGUAAUGGCCUACCAAGCCGACGAUCUCUAGCUGGUCUGAGAGGAUGACCAGCCACACCGGGACUGAGAGACGGCCCGGACUCCUACGGGAGGCAGCAGUGGGGAAUAUUGCGCAAGGGGGGGAACCUGACGCAGCGACGCCGCGUGCGGGAAGGAGGCCUUCGGGUCGUAAACCGCUUUCAGCAGGGAAGCGGUACCUGCAGAAGAAGCCCCGGCUAACUACGUGCCAGCAGCCGCGGUAAUUC
rnacentral:rRNA from 1 species